UGCAUUUUGCGAUGCUGGCACGGGAUUUUCUGAAGAUUAUAUAUCUACCAUACAAAAUGAAUCAAUAAUUAACUUGCAGUAUGAUUCAUUGAAGCACAGUACCAAACAAUACAACCUUGAGUUAAAACCUUUAUUCUCAGCAUUCAUGUGGAGGAAUCUUGCACUGACCUCCUUGAGAUCUUUCCUAUUAUUUUAUUUACCUCUUGUGGAGCCUCAUACUAACAUGGAUGAGGACGAUGAUGAUGAAGAUUUCUUGAAGGAUGCCGAGGAAGAUCGCGGUGUCGACUUGGUGACUCCUUUCAAGAAAUCAGUGAAACAGAUUGGUCGUGAGACUGCUGUUGUAACAACAAGACGUGUCCUGGAAAGAUUGGCUGUCCACUAUGUUUCACAGCGAAUGGCAUGGAAGCUUCUAAAAGAUGUUCCCAAGUCAGCUGCACGCAAGGCUCAAAGGGGAAUGCCUAGUAUGAUCUAUUUUUGCAGUGUCACAAAAACAACGUGCAGAGGUCAUUUUCUGGGAGUUUUGGCAUCAUGGUUUGUUCAAGUUGGCAUUGAUAUCUGGCGAUUUUUUAAAUCUAAACAAGAUGACGACACACUUGAUGGAUCAGAAAAAAUGAAGCUUCUGGGAAGGAAGAUUUCCAUUGUUACUGUCAGAUGUAGUGCAUCUCUUGUUUUCGCUUCUAUAGGAGCAGGGAUAGGAGCAAUGAUAUUUCGCCCUACAACUGGCCAGUGGAUUGGAUGCGCUAUUGGAGAUGUGGCUGGACCAGUCAUUGUAGCCUUUUGCUUUGACAAAGUUCUUCACAUGGAACUGUGAUGAUGUAGAAGCUUUUCCCCCCUCCCGCGCACACACACAUACACACAGAAGAAGUGGCAAUUCAGUGUUUUUCUUCGACUUAAUUGAUUCCUUUAGCUCUGGG
rnacentral:misc_RNA from 1 species